rnacentral:pre_miRNA from 1 species
CUGCCUGUAGGCUGUUGUUAGUCUACUGCCUGUAGGCUGUUGUUGUAGACUAACAACAGCCUACAGGCAGUAGACUAACAACAGCCUACAGGCAGU